UACGUAGGGGGCGAGCGUUAUCCGGAUUCACUGGGUGUAAAGGGAGCGUAGACGGCCAUGCAAGCCAGGGGUGAAAGCCCGGGGCCCAACCCCGGGACUGCCCUUGGAACUGCAUGGCUGGAGUGCGGGAGGGGCAGGCGGAAUUCCUGUGUAGCGGUGAAAUGCGUAGAUAUCAGGAGGAACACCGGCGGCGAAGGCGGCCUGCUGGACCGCGACUGACGUUGAGGCUCGAAAGCGUGGGGAGCGAACAGG
rnacentral:rRNA from 1 species